rnacentral:lncRNA from 1 species
CAUAAAGCGGAGGCAUCAUGGUGGGAAGAUACUUCUCCUGGAUGCUAUGGAAAAUUAAUGAGGCGAAAUGGUAAACUCAUUAAGGCGAACCUAUGAAGAGUCUCUUAAGGAUAAAAAUGUAAAUUUUAUUGUUUUCCAGUUGCUAGUUUUACAGAAAAUCCACACAAGUUUUUACAGGUUGGUAAACAUUUUUACAGCUGUGCUGGAUUUUGUUUUCACUUGUAGGUAUUAGAGAUUUUUCAGCCUACACAUUUUAAUCAUGAUUAAUGGCAUGUUCUCAAAAACCAGCAUGCAUGACUAGUAGCAAUAAAAAUAAUCACUAUUAGUUGACCAAGGAGGGUAGGAACAAUCUGAACUUUUACGCGAAGUUGAGAGUUAAUUUCAAAGAAGUGCCACUUUUCCAAAUAAACCACCUAUUUGGUAAAACUGUUGCUGAUAAAUAUGGAAAGGGAUUCCAAUUCUUUUCUGGUUUAGUUUGUAUAUCAUGGCUAAAAUUCUGCUCCAUAAUUCACAUUCAAUUCUCAUUCUACUUGUUUUGCAUUGAAUACAGCUAUGUUGUGCUAUAAAAAGAGACUUUGGACAGGAUAUCUGUUGGUGUUAGGCUGUUUGUUUUUGUGUUCCCUCAGUCAGAACUAUCCCCAGGGAAAUGGUGGCCCUUGAGAAAUCACAUGGUGUGCACUUUUUCCUCUACUCCGGCAUCUUCGUGCAACUGAAAGGAUGUUCAGCUGAACAGUGAUGACUCUGGAAAAGGAAGAGAAAUCACAGAUGGGCCAAAUGAAGCUGAGGAGGUCUGGAAGGGAGGAAAAGGCAAUACAGACAGAGGCUACUGCCUGAGGGAAGAGCACCGUGUGAAAGGCUUGUUUGGGGAAUGCUGCCCAAUGAGGGCUCUGCUGGUUGUGAAGCAGAUGGCAGGGGUGGCUGGAGGCAGAACUGCUUCUGCAGAGUUCUCUGUCUUUGGACAUCAUCCUAGAAGCCCCCUGUGGCUCCAGUCAUCUUCCUCUCCGAAGCAGCUGAAGGACCAAGAGGAUAGAAGUAAGGUUCAUAGAUGAGAUCCGGGGUUUUAAGAAGAGAACAGCCCUUGUACUCUGGUAGGGGUGACUCAGAGAGGAACAUCACUUACCACAGUUGCCUGCUCUCCCCACAAAAGUUCCACAGAAGGACCUUUGAGGGUACACAGAGAGCUCCCCUUCUUUUGAGCAUUAGCUUUCCAUGAAUUUUUCAGUCUCAAGCUUACUUUCCUCCCAUUCUACUUGUCUCUAUUUUUCGUCUUUUUCUGUUACUUAUGAGUGUUACUACCCCCCAAUGCUUUUCACCCUUCUUCCUCCCUCAUCCUUCUCUCCCACAAACUAUCUCCCUUUCCUUAAUUGAAUGAAAUUGCAAACUGUC